rnacentral:lncRNA from 1 species
UCAACUUAAGAAAACUCAUCAUCAUUUCUCAUUAAUACUCAAUUGAAAACAUUACUAAAAGAAGACAUAAAACUUAAUUAAUACGUUAACCAAGUUAAUACAUCAACAGAAACCAUCCUCUUAAACUUAAAGUAUGACAUAACAUACUAUAACAUCAACAACAUCUUGCAGCGGAAAGUAGCUAGACAUAUGUAUGAAGACAUAUUCUAGACAGGUUAACUAUUUAUUAACAACCCUGGAGACUCCGCUCAUUGCAGCACCAUCACCACAUCAGCUCAACCUGCACAGUUAGAAAAUAUAUGCAGGGCUGAGUACAAAAGCACUCAGUGAACACAUGCCAAACAUCUCAUUCUUAUAAAGCUAUAAAUAUUGUCAUUGCCAUUUCAUAUGCAUAAUACAAGGAAUUUGUUUGAAAGCCCUGUAUUAGCUAAACUCAUUUUCAUUUCCUCAAAGUUGUCUGCGCAGACUUUUCUCAUCAAGUAUGUAUCAUAUCUGUUAUAACAUCAAGUACUGAGAGGGAGGCCUCCCUCUGCAGCACUGUGAUCGGCCAACCCGCUCGAUGACUCACGACCACCUCAGUGUACACAAAUCCUUACUAGUAUCUACACUAGAAUAGGACCGAAUUCUUCAUCUCAAGCAGAUAGAUAACAUACCAAAUGUAACACCCCGCCUAUUUAUAUUAAGUUUAGAAUUUAUUUUAAACUUAGAUUAGAAUGAUUUACGCCGGAAAAAUGAAAAAUGAUUUAUAUUUUAAAUUCCAACAAAAUUUAUUUUCAGAAGCCUUUAUAAAAAUUUAGUCUUUUGAAAUUUUGUGCAUUUCAUAAAUCGAAUUAUAUGAAUAUGUGAUUAUUCUAUAUGAUUAGUAUUUAUUUGUAUAUGAUUUAAUUUAAGUCUAUAUUAGGCUUUAAUUAUUUAAAUGUGUUGGGCUUUGACAAAUAUUUAUUUGGGCCUUAGUUUUUAUUGAAAUGAUAUUCUAUAAAUACCAAAGCCCAAACCAACCUCCUCCUUUACACCACAGCCAAGUACAGCACGCAUGCUGCUGCUUGUGUUUCACCAUGCCUCUACAAUUGCUACACUAUUCACCCCCAUGCGCCCACUCCUACAAAGUCAUACAAAAUCCCUAUGAUUAAGGGAUUUUGGUUAAUAUUUUCAACACCUUUCACGUCUCACCUUCCUCUUUUCACUCCUUCACCCAUGCUUCCUAUCAGCCACCCUACACCAUCCCAUGUCAAUCCAAUCAACUCCAAAAGUCAAGCUUUAGUCAUGCUUGGCAGCCACCAACUCCCCUAAUUUCAGCCCUCAAACAUCUCUGCAUAAUUGAAGGAAACCCAUCCCUUGCACUUUCACUAGCAACUUAAAUAUCACACCUCUACACGUUAAUAUCUCCACAUCAGUCUCUACCUCUCAAUUAUAUCACACCUCUUGUACUCUGUUUCAAACAAACACAUCUAAGAAUAUUUCGACCCACUAGACUUCAAGAAAUUCCAUCUCCUUGACUCACAGAAACUACCGAGCUCAACCACCACCUUAAGGUUUCAAUUCUUUCAAACGUAUUAUCAUUUCAUUCAAUUUCACAGCAUGCUUUAUUUGUGUGCUUACUGUGCAAACUGAAUCAGAAAACAAGAAAUAGAAUUUAUAUUAAGCUUCAAUUCAUGAUAUGUAUGAUAUACAUGUUUCAAUAUUCACUAAAAUGAAAGGUUUAACUGAAAACAAAGAUAUGAACUUUACCUUAUUUAUACAUUGAGCAUGAAUUGUAUGAACUGAUUUUACAUUGAGAAUUCAAGCAAUGAUAUAUAAAACAAGCAUGUAUUGAACUUGAGUCUUGAGCUUUGUCGGGUGUGGGCUGUGUGGUUGUAAGUGUCGAGUCUGGCAGGGGAGUAAUGGCGGUGGCAGCGGCGGCCCUUUGCUGCUGUCGCGGGAAGUUUCAGAGAGGGAGCUAGGGCUCGGGCGCCGCUCUUCGCGGUGGGAUGUCGGGCCUGUUUCAGCGAGAGAGAAGGGAGAACCAAGGGGCAGUGGUUGUCGCCGCUCGCUCCGGCGAGCUUCGACGGCGGUGACUUCGGGAGAGAGAGAGAGACGAACAGAUCUUGAGAGAGGAAGAGAGAAGAGAGGUGGGCGUCUGUUUGAGGGAGAUAGGAGAACAGAGGAGAGGGAGAGGGUUGUCGGGGGCGGCGGCGUGGCCGGCGACGCCUACCGCCGGAGGAGAGAAGAGGGCGAAGGGAGGGUGCCUUGCAGCGCAGCUGCUGUGUGCUGUGUGCGUGUGUUUGUUUUGUGUGUGUUUCUGAAUUUGCGUGUGCGUGUGAUUAAGAGAGGGAGGAGAAAGGUAAUAGGGUUUGGGUUUUGGGCCUGGAUUGUUGGGCUUUGGCUAUUGGGCUGAAAAUGUAGAAGGAAAGAGUGAAUGGGCUUAAGUUGUUGGGCCAAUUUUUAAUUUUAUUUAGCUGGGCCCGAUUUAUUUUAUUCAGUCUGGGCCAUUCCUAUUUUAUUGAGUUGGGCCUCAUCUUUUAAUUGGUAUGGGUUAUUAUUUAUUUAAGCAUGGGCUCUAUUUCAUCUAUUUAAAUGGCUUCCCUAUUUUAUUUAAUUAGACUAAUAAUUAGUUUGAUUAAAUUAUUUUAAAGAUGAUUUGCAUAAUAAUAUUAUAUUAUCAUGAUGUGCAUAUUUUAAGUAAUUACUUAUCAUAUAUAUGCUAAGCAUGACAUGACAUUGCAUUUGCAUCAUGCAAUAAAAGUAUUUAUGAUUUAAUUGGUUUAUUCAUAAAUUCAAUUAUUUAAGAAAAUCGAGUAAGGAUAUUGUUGGUGUCCUUAACUCAAUAAUUUAGUUUUCAAUUAUUUAUUUACUAAAUUUUGGAAACACGGCGUGAUGAAUCAAGUAUGUUUAGUACAUCCACUAAGACUUUAAGUUAGCUUCACGAGACCUAUUAAGAAUAGAAUUUCUUGUAGGCUUUAUGAACCAAGGGGAUUAGCGUUGCUUUUUCAAGACGAGUUUAUGCGAUUAUGAUCUUCAGGCUUUGCCUAACCAGGUGGGCUUACUUUCUAAAUGUAUAAAGUAUGAUUGAGUUAUUAAGCUCUAAAUGUUUCAAUGAAUUGCAAACUGUUUAUUUAAUGAAAUGCAAACUGUUUAUCCAAUAAAAUGUUUAUGUGCACUCUGCUCUGUUUAAGGCUCGCAAAGUUAAUCAAUUGAGGUUCUCUUAUGACCUAACACGUUAUUUGAGAAUUGUGUACACCUAUUAGCUGACCUGGUGGGUUGAUCUCCAUCGGGCACUAAUCAUGUAUGAGGCGUUAUAAGGGUGCUCGACGGGAUGUGUUCCGGAGCAUUGGGUCCCAAAUGGGAACUUGGCUGGGUUACGCCCUCAGUCCAAGUAAAGCAGGAGUAAUGGAUCCGUCGGUGGCUAAAAGGUCCGGGAUCACAGCGAGUAACGGAAAGGGAGUGUGACAUGUGCGCACAAAUGAAAGAAAAUGUUUUAACAUGCUUAGAAGUUAUUUCAAUUUAAAACCUUCUAAGUCAUGUCAAGUAUGAUUGGAUAAACUGCUCUUAUGAUUAUGAAAUGUUUAUGAAAAUACAUGCCCACUAAGUACAUUAGUACUUAGCCCAAAAAUACUUUCAAAUGUUUUCAGGUUGGCUGGCUGGUGCUGACAGGACGGAGCUGAGGCUAGAGUUAAAUUCCUAUGUUAGACUUCCGCUGUAGCAAUUACUCAUAUCAGUCUUUUGUUUUCCCAACUUAAGAUCUUUAUGUUAAAUUUCAAAUGAUAUACCUGACCGAGCUUAGACUCUUUACUAUUAAAUUUAUGCCAAUGAAUGUCGGUUGUCAGAAGCAUGAAACAAAACUUGUGAUCCAAAGGGGCAUAGCCCGACUUUCUAUCCUAUUUCGGGUUUUAACAAGGUAUUUCCCUUGUUUAUUUCUAUGAAUUAUUCACACCUCGAUUAUAUUUAUUCCUUCAAGAAUUGGGGUGUGAGACCAAAACAUCAAAAAUUUGGCAAUGCAAUAACUUCAAUAUAAUAUCCUUCAUAUAAUAAUUCCCUUCAUUUCAUUUCAUAAAGAACCAUUCAUCAUUUGAUCAUUUUCAUAAAAUCGAAACUUAACAAUUAUAUCAUAUCAUUCAUUUCAUUUCGUAUAAGAGGCCUGUAUGCAGGGGAUCUCUAUAUACGUGUUUAAGAAAGCCCACCUCGUUGCGUCCUUAAGUUAGUAGGCACGCGUCCCCUCCUUCCCUUGGACCGUUACUUCCCAAAUUGACCUUCAUUAAAUGAAGAAUCGGUGAGCCGAGAAGAAAAGGUCGGUUAAGAAAUGAGAGAUUUAUUCUAAUCGAUUAACCUCUUAUAAACCUUAUUAGAACCUUAGCAUCAAACAUAACUCGUAUACGUACCCAUUAUUAUAACAUUCUUAGUUACUACAACUCCUUGUCAUAGUAGAAUUAAUUAAUUAUAACCGCCUUAGGUUAUAAUUAUUAACUCCAUCUAAAAUCUAAAACAAAAGAACUACUCCUAAAGCAAAACAGUCCGCUUCUUUAGGUGAUCAGUUCACACUUGGUUUGAAUUAAGUAACGAGAGAGGUACCAAUAAAAAGGUAGUCAAGUCAGGGUUCGGUAGGAAUUAACGGUUCUCAAAUCAGACAACUACACAAAAAGUUAUAACAGUUCUUUGACGAUGUGUCAAAACUGCCAACUCAACUUUCAGCAUGCUCUACCCUUAAUAGGGUCGUUCAACGAGGUCCUAAUGCGUGCCUAACAUAACAUGGACUCAUUUCUAUACCUUAACUCGAUAUAUCAAACAAUCACAAGACUCUUUAUCACAUCACUACCAUUUAGGCUCGAAACCAUUUGUUCGAGCAUCAAACACCAACACGUAUGUGCGUAAAUCAUAACUCUCACAACUCACACCAUUUAGUCAUAUCGUAUCAUCCAUCAAAACAAAUAUGAUCAAGUUGUUAUCUAGAAAGUUUUGCUGUUUUUGUGUCAUCUUUAAAAAUUCAUAACAACCAACUCAAUCAUCAUAAACUCUCAUACCAAUUGAUCUCAAAAACUUCAUGAAGUGUAGUUCACUCUAAAAAUGGUAGUUAACCAAAAAGGUUAAAGGUUUUUGGAGAUAUUGCUCUUUUAGUGCAAGCUGUCAAAGAUUGACAGUUUCUGCCAAUUUUGUUUAGGCCAUUAGAAACCAAGGCAAACCUUAAUAAAAUUUCAUCAAAUUUAAUCAGCCAAAACUAAAGGUAUCCUUGAAUAUUUGGUUAAAAUUUCACAAGAGAAAACGUUCAUAUGAUCUGCCAAAUAAACAAUGAAACUCAUACACUUUUACUGUUGGAAAAAUAUGACAGCAGAACAGGGCAUUUUUGAAAUAAUAAACUGCUCUGUUUCAGAGGUCAUAAAAAUCGAAAUCUUAUGUUUUUAGAAAGGUAUUGAAGUCUAGUUUCGUUUAAAAAAAACGGUGAUGCAAAAUCCUUCAUGGAUUAAUAGAUAUAAACGUUUUUGUGAAGUCUACCAACAGUUGACAGAUUCUGUCAAGGAUUUUUCAAAAUAUCUCUAAAAUAGCAAGCAUCAUCCAAAAGACGUGAAAUUUUGCAGCGACGAAAUACACAUAUCAUAGAUGAACAUACUAAAAUUUCAGAGCCAUCAAGCAAUGAAAACUCAUCGAAACAUAAGCUUAAAACUGCUGUAAAAUUUUGACAGAAUUCCAGUUUUAAUUUCGUUCAACAAUUAUCAUCCAUAAAUUGUAAAUCAAUUAGCAUGCUUCCAGUAUAUAAACACUCAUAAACCCAGUCAAUUCCAUCAAACAAAAUUCGAAAUACAAGCUUGAAGAGAAUGUAUAAUCUGCCCCCUUUAAACAACAGCCCUAGGUUUUGAUUCAAUUGAAUCUCCUCUACAAAACAUGCUUGAAAUCUCAUAGGAUUCGACACCUUAAAACUUCAUAAACAUCUGUCUGUUCAAGAAAAAUUUCGAGAAUCACCAAGUUUUCGAAAUAGAGGAUUCUUAAAAAUUAUACCAUAGAUUAGUAAUCAAGAUCGACGCCUACCUAAAUCUGUGUUCGAAAACGUGAUUGCACCGAAAAUUAGGGCUUCAAGGCUUGAGACUUCUGCUCCUAAGGCUUCUGUGUGUUUAAGCGAGAAAGAGAGAGUAGAAGAGAAAAGGGAGGCUGCGU